rnacentral:rRNA from 1 species
CACGUAGGGGUGCGAGCGUUUGUCCGGAAUUAUUGGGCGUAAAGAGCUCGUAGGCGGUGUGUCGCGUCGGCCGUGAAAACCUGCAGCUUAACUGUGGGCGUGCGGUCGAUACGGGCAUCACUGGAGUUCGGCAGGGGAGACUGGAAUUCCUGGUGUAGCGGUGAAAUGCGCAGAUAUCAGGAGGAACACCGGUGGCGAAGGCGGGUCUCUGGGCCGAUACUGACGUGAGGAGCGAAAGCGUGGGGAGCGAACAGG